rnacentral:rRNA from 1 species
GUAUGCGGCUUGUAAGUCUGCUGUGAAAGUCCAGGGCUCAACCCUGGAGAUGCCGGUGGAUACUGUCAAGCUUGAGUCCGGAAGAGGCGAGUGGAAUUCCUGGUGUAGCGGUGAAAUGCGCAGAUAUCAGGAGGAACACCAAUGGCGAAGGCAGCUCGCUGGGACGUGACUGACGCUGAGACGCGAAAGCGUGGGGAGCAAACAGGAUUAGAUACCCUGGUAGUCCACGCCGUAAACGAUGGGCACUAGGUGUGGGGGGUGUCGACUCCCUCCGUGCCGACGCUAACGCAUUAAGUGCCCCGCCUGGGGAGUACGGCCGCAAGGCUAAAACUCA